rnacentral:rRNA from 1 species
UACGUAGGGUGCAAGCGUUAAUCGGAAUUACUGGGCGUAAAGCGUGCGCAGGCGGUUCGUUGUGUCUGAUGUGAAAGCCCCGGGCUCAACCUGGGAAUGGCAUUGGAAACUGGCGAGCUGGAGUGUGGCAGAGGGGGGGUGGAAUUCCGCGUGUAGCAGUGAAAUGCGUAGAGAUGCGGAGGAACACCGAUGGCGAAGGCAGCCCCCCUGGGCCAACACUGACGCUCAGGCACGAAAGCGUGGGGAGCAAACAGG